rnacentral:rRNA from 1 species
AUAACAGGUCUGUGAUGCCCUUAGAUGUUCUGGGCUGCACGCGCGUUACACUGACAUGUUCAACGAGUUUUUCGUCCUCGCCCGAUAGGGUUUGGGUAAGCUUAAAGUGCAUGUCGUGAUGGGGAUAGUGCCUUGCAAUUAUUGCACUUGAACGAGGAAUUCCUAGUAAGCGCGAGUCAUCAACUCGCGCUGAUUACGUCCCUGCCCUUUGUACACACCGCCCGUCGCUCCUACCGAUUGAAUGGUCCGGUGAGGACUCAGGAUGGAUGUUUGUAAAGCUCUUCGGAGUUUACGCCGAUGACCCAAAGGUUAUCGAAUUGCAUUCAAAAUUUGUUCAAACCUUACCAUUUACAGGAAGGAGAACUCGUAACAAGGUUUCCGUAGGUGAACCUGCAGUAGGAUCA